rnacentral:rRNA from 1 species
CACGUAGGGGGCAAGCGUUGUCCGGAUUUAUUGGGCGUAAAGAGCUCGUAGGCGGCUUAGUAAGUCGGGUGUGAAACCUCCAGGCUCAACCUGGAGACGCCACCCGAUACUGCUGUGGCUAGAGUCCGGUAGGGGAGCGUGGAAUUCCUGGUGUAGCGGUGAAAUGCGCAGAUAUCAGGAAGAACACCAAUGGCGAAGGCAGCUCUCUGGGACGGUACUGACGCUGAGACGCGAAAGCGUGGGGAGCGAACAGG